CGGCUUUCGAAAACAUAGCAUGGCUUGGUAAUACUGCUUCCUGGUUUGCCAUGGAUAGUUUCCCUGGCACUCAGCGACGAUUUUGACACAACUCAACUCCCAUGAUGCAAUGUUGUUGUCGUUUCCAUCCGUCACUGCUGUGCGGUAAUAUUUCAUUCACACCGCCUUAGACGAAAGGCUUCCUUUUAUGAAAGUCUAAGCCAAAAAUUGCCAUAAUACCACAUACAGAUCUCCCAUCUUGGUUCACG
rnacentral:lncRNA from 1 species